CAGGCCUAACACAUGCAAGUCGAACGGCUCGCAAGAGCAGUGGCAAACGGGUGCGUAACGCGUAAGCAACCUGCCCUCAACUGGGGGAUAGCCCGGCGAAAGCUGGGGUAAACCCGCACGGUCCCAAAAGAUCACCUGAUUUUAUGGGUAAACAUUAAUGGGUUGAGGAGGGGCUUGCGUCUGAUUAGCUAGUUGGCGGGGUAACGGCUCACCAAGGCGAUGAUCAGUAGGGGUUCUGAGAGGAUUGGCCCCCACAUGGGUACUGAGAUACGGACCCAACUCCUACGGGAGGCAGCAGUAGGGAAUAUUGGGCAAUGGAGGCAACUCUGACCCAGCCAUGCCGCGUGCAGGAUGAAGGCGCUCAGCGUUGUAAACUGCUUUUAUCUGGGAAGAACAGCAGGGAUGCGUCCUUGUGUGACGGUACCAGAGGAAUAAGCACCGGCUAACUCCGUGCCAGCAGCCGCGGUAAU
rnacentral:rRNA from 1 species